UUAAGCGACUAAGCGUACACGGUGGAUGCCCUGGCAGUCAGAGGCGAUGAAGGACGUGCUAAUCUGCGAUAAGCGUCGGUAAGGUGAUAUGAACCGUUAUAACCGGCGAUUUCCGAAUGGGGAAACCCAGUGUGUUUCGACACACUAUCAUUAACUGAAUCCAUAGGUUAAUGAGGCGAACCGGGGGAACUGAAACAUCUAAGUACCCCGAGGAAAAGAAAUCAACCGAGAUUCCCCCAGUAGCGGCGAGCGAACGGGGAGGAGCCCAGAGCCUGAAUCAGUGUGUGUGUUAGUGGAAGCGUCUGGAAAGGCGCGCGAUACAGGGUGACAGCCCCGUACACAAAAAUGCACAUACUGUGAGCUCGAUGAGUAGGGCGGGACACGUGGUAUCCUGUCUGAAUAUGGGGGGACCAUCCUCCAAGGCUAAAUACUCCUGACUGACCGAUAGUGAACCAGUACCGUGAGGGAAAGGCGAAAAGAACCCCGGCGAGGGGAGUGAAAAAGAACCUGAAACCGUGUACGUACAAGCAGUGGGAGCACGCUUCGGCGUGUGACUGCGUACCUUUUGUAUAAUGGGUCAGCGACUUAUAUUCUGUAGCAAGGUUAACCGAAUAGGGGAGCCGAAGGGAAACCGAGUCUUAACUGGGCGUUAAGUUGCAGGGUAUAGACCCGAAACCCGGUGAUCUAGCCAUGGGCAGGUUGAAGGUUGGGUAACACUAACUGGAGGACCGAACCGACUAAUGUUGAAAAAUUAGCGGAUGACUUGUGGCUGGGGGUGAAAGGCCAAUCAAACCGGGAGAUAGCUGGUUCUCCCCGAAAGCUAUUUAGGUAGCGCCUCGUGAAUUCAUCUCCGGGGGUAGAGCACUGUUUCGGCAAGGGGGUCAUCCCGACUUACCAACCCGAUGCAAACUGCGAAUACCGGAGAAUGUUAUCACGGGAGACACACGGCGGGUGCUAACGUCCGUCGUGAAGAGGGAAACAACCCAGACCGCCAGCUAAGGUCCCAAAGUCAUGGUUAAGUGGGAAACGAUGUGGGAAGGCCCAGACAGCCAGGAUGUUGGCUUAGAAGCAGCCAUCAUUUAAAGAAAGCGUAAUAGCUCACUGGUCGAGUCGGCCUGCGCGGAAGAUGUAACGGGGCUAAACCAUGCACCGAAGCUGCGGCAGCGACACUAUGUGUUGUUGGGUAGGGGAGCGUUCUGUAAGCCUGUGAAGGUGUACUGUGAGGUAUGCUGGAGGUAUCAGAAGUGCGAAUGCUGACAUAAGUAACGAUAAAGCGGGUGAAAAGCCCGCUCGCCGGAAGACCAAGGGUUCCUGUCCAACGUUAAUCGGGGCAGGGUGAGUCGACCCCUAAGGCGAGGCCGAAAGGCGUAGUCGAUGGGAAACAGGUUAAUAUUCCUGUACUUGGUGUUACUGCGAAGGGGGGACGGAGAAGGCUAUGUUGGCCGGGCGACGGUUGUCCCGGUUUAAGCGUGUAGGCUGGUUUUCCAGGCAAAUCCGGAAAAUCAAGGCUGAGGCGUGAUGACGAGGCACUACGGUGCUGAAGCAACAAAUGCCCUGCUUCCAGGAAAAGCCUCUAAGCAUCAGGUAACAUCAAAUCGUACCCCAAACCGACACAGGUGGUCAGGUAGAGAAUACCAAGGCGCUUGAGAGAACUCGGGUGAAGGAACUAGGCAAAAUGGUGCCGUAACUUCGGGAGAAGGCACGCUGAUAUGUAGGUGAAGCGACUUGCUCGUGGAGCUGAAAUCAGUCGAAGAUACCAGCUGGCUGCAACUGUUUAUUAAAAACACAGCACUGUGCAAACACGAAAGUGGACGUAUACGGUGUGACGCCUGCCCGGUGCCGGAAGGUUAAUUGAUGGGGUUAGCGCAAGCGAAGCUCUUGAUCGAAGCCCCGGUAAACGGCGGCCGUAACUAUAACGGUCCUAAGGUAGCGAAAUUCCUUGUCGGGUAAGUUCCGACCUGCACGAAUGGCGUAAUGAUGGCCAGGCUGUCUCCACCCGAGACUCAGUGAAAUUGAACUCGCUGUGAAGAUGCAGUGUACCCGCGGCAAGACGGAAAGACCCCGUGAACCUUUACUAUAGCUUGACACUGAACAUUGAGCCUUGAUGUGUAGGAUAGGUGGGAGGCUUUGAAGUGUGGACGCCAGUCUGCAUGGAGCCGACCUUGAAAUACCACCCUUUAAUGUUUGAUGUUCUAACGUUGACCCGUGAUCCGGGUUGCGGACAGUGUCUGGUGGGUAGUUUGACUGGGGCGGUCUCCUCCUAAAGAGUAACGGAGGAGCACGAAGGUUGGCUAAUCCUGGUCGGACAUCAGGAGGUUAGUGCAAUGGCAUAAGCCAGCUUGACUGCGAGCGUGACGGCGCGAGCAGGUGCGAAAGCAGGUCAUAGUGAUCCGGUGGUUCUGAAUGGAAGGGCCAUCGCUCAACGGAUAAAAGGUACUCCGGGGAUAACAGGCUGAUACCGCCCAAGAGUUCAUAUCGACGGCGGUGUUUGGCACCUCGAUGUCGGCUCAUCACAUCCUGGGGCUGAAGUAGGUCCCAAGGGUAUGGCUGUUCGCCAUUUAAAGUGGUACGCGAGCUGGGUUUAGAACGUCGUGAGACAGUUCGGUCCCUAUCUGCCGUGGGCGCUGGAGAACUGAGGGGGGCUGCUCCUAGUACGAGAGGACCGGAGUGGACGCAUCACUGGUGUUCGGGUUGUCAUGCCAAUGGCACUGCCCGGUAGCUAAAUGCGGAAGAGAUAAGUGCUGAAAGCAUCUAAGCACGAAACUUGCCCCGAGAUGAGUUCUCCCUGACUCCUUGAGAGUCCUGAAGGAACGUUGAAGACGACGACGUUGAUAGGCCGGGUGUGUAAGCGCAGCGAUGCGUUGAGCUAACCGGUACUAAUGAACCGUGAGGCUUAACCUU
rnacentral:rRNA from 2 species